CAAAGGAGCCGCACAAAAUAUUUCUAAAAAAUUUAAUUUUCUCUCUUCCCCUCCUUCCCCUUUUCUGGUUCUCCGCCAUUAAACCUAAGCUCUUUUUUUCAUUCUCCCGCUUCUCCUCCUUCCCCUUCUCUAGUUCUCUUUUCCUCUGGUUUCUAACAAGGCCUGAACUCAAAAUUCACAUCACCCACCACGACAAGCCGCACCGCUGCAACUGUUCCGUCGCCACCGAUCUCUUCCUCUUCCUGCCGCGUAACCACUGCUGUUACCGCCACUGUUGUUCCGUUACCACAACGUCUCUUGUAAUUGGAGUUGUAUCCAUAGUAGUCGCCGCCUCUGCCGACCUCCUCCCCUUCUCUGGUGCUGCAAUUCUUGUAGCUUGGCAAGAUCAAAUUGGAGACUUAUAUCUCACAGUUUCACAAAUGGCUAAGGUGGGGUUUUAUUUCUCGCGCAGGUCUGUGGGAUAAAAGCCACUUGAUGAGGCAAAUUGAGAAAUAUGCUGAUAUUUAUACAUCUAGAGUUUCAAAUUUCCUUCAUUACACCCCGUUCAUGUAUUUCCGCUCACAGGAACAGCCAACUCAAGUCUAACAGCCUCUAGCCUCUAGUUAACUGAUCAGUAGCAGGUCAAAAUAACAAAUACAAUGAUCGACAAUAGAAACAAGUAAAACAACCAACACAGUGCCAAGCUAAACAAGCAAUAAAGUUGCAGAUCAGUAAGCAUAGCACUACGCAGGAGCAACAGUGCAGAUCAGAAUGCAGAUUAUGGAGAACGAGGAAAAAAGAGUUAGACUUAUUGAGUUAGCGUAGAGGACAGUGAUGCGUUGCAGUGACCUUUCUGCUUCGCUGCUGAUUGUUCAGGUUUGUUGGGGGGCAUAGGAGCAAAUCUUGCAGUAAUGGCCAGUAUAGGCUUAUCUCCAUUUCUACAGAAGCAUGCCAAGAGUAUCAGGACCAUAGCAAAAAGCUUCCUGAAAGUUUGUGGGAGGAUAUCCUGCAGGGAUCGGGAGUGAUAGAGAAUGACAAGGGAGGAGCAAAAAGUAGAGAACACUUUGCCUAUCACUCAUUUAGGCGUUUCUUGGACAUGCUUGCCGAUGUAUUCACAGGAGGCUUCGGUGUGGAAACUAUGAGAGCAUUCGAUCACUUGAGAGACAGCUGCAGAAUCACCAGCAAUUUGUACAGCUGCUAAACCAAAUAGCAGUAACAGAACCACCACUGUAUGGAAACCGCUAUCGGUCUGGGGCAGACCUGAGUGAGACUGGAGUAAUCAACUUCGCCAAAUGAAGUUAACCCGGUUUGACCAGGAACCAACCCAGAGUUCUAACUGCAACCCCAAUCCAACAGAACCAGCAACGUCUAAUGUGUGAACUGAGGUAUCAUUGUAGCAAGGCGUACCAGAAAUAAGCAAAAUUCAGAAUCGGCAGCAUUCAGAACUGAGGCAACAUUCAGAACCGGCAGCAGAAUCACCAACAAUCUGUACAGCUGCUAAACCAAAUAGCUGUAACAGAACCACCACUGCAUGGAAACCGCUAUCAGUCUGGGACAGACCUGAGUGAGACUGGAGUAAUCAACUUCGCCAAAUGAAGUUGACCUGGUUUGACCAGGAACCAACCAAGAGUUCUAACUGCAACCCCAAUCCAAACGAACCAGCAACUUCCAAUGUAUGAACUGAGGCAACAUUGUAGCAAGCGUACCAGAAAUAAGCAGCCUGUAAACCCCACCACCCUGCCUGCAUCCUUGACAAAAACCCAGCCUGUCGCUCCGGCCUCCUUCCCCCACCGCCGCUGAGCUCUACCUUCUUCCAGAUGGAACUAAUUCAGGACUCAGCAGUUCUCGCACAGUAAGGUUGCUUGAUAUGCGAUUGUCUGUGUUGUGCACAUUGUCGUGGCCUGAUAGCUGCUCUAAGAUAACUUGGCCACGCCUCGAUCUCUGCAAGUAUUCAAUAAUCCGAGGGAGCGACAUUUCACCUUUGAGGAGAUAGAUGAAGUUCGAGAAAUGUUGGCAAACUUCAUUACCAGUGAUUGUCUUUGAUAUUUUCUUGUACUGAAUCUUAAAUUAUGGAUGCUAGUUUUUCAUAUGAUUGUAAUGUAAUCGACUUUUAUAUUUACAAUUAUAUACUAUUCAAUUUAAUUAUCUAUAUAAUUGGAUAAUUUUUAUAUGA